rnacentral:rRNA from 1 species
GCAGCCGCCGCGGGAAUACGAAGGGUGCAAGCGUUACUCGGAAUUACUGGGCGUAAAGCGUGCGUAGGUGGUGGUUUAAGUCCGUUGUGAAAGCCCUGGGCUCAACCUGGGAAUUGCAGUGGAUACUGGCAAGCUAGAGUGUGUCAGAGGAUGGUGGAAUUCCCGGUGUAGCGGUGAAAUGCGUAGAGAUCGGGAGGAACAUCAGUGGCGAAGGCGGCCAUCUGGGACAACACUGAUGCUGAGGCACGAAAGCGUGGGGAGCAAACAGGAUUAGAUACCCCCGUAGUCCCUGUCUCUUAUAC